rnacentral:lncRNA from 1 species
AACAACGCAAAGAACAUGUCAUCCACUUUCAUGCCUUCUACUUGGUACAGUCUAUUUCUAACAUGUUUAUCAUUUGCUUGUUAGAUUGUCAAAUGAGAAAUCAGAAGCAAGAACCUCUGAAGCAUCAUUGGAAGUGAACUCUAGUACCCUAUCAAUUAACUCUGAGGUAUUUUGCAAAAAAUAUUUUACAGUAACAUUUGGUUUUGUUUGUGUUUUGACAUUAGCAGAUACUCUACUGAAUUUUAUUUGCUACCAUACUCCAUUGAUUUUGGUUGUGAUUAUUAGGAAUAAAUGAAGAGCAAAGUAAGUCUGCAGUAAAAGAAGAUUACUCGAUUCUAUGAGAUUGACGCCUACUAGAAAGAGUGAGUGACUUCCUCAAUCUGUGCAUAGAUUGUUACGACUUGAUGCGGAAGUGGUGGAAAUACUGUAUAAGCUUGACAUACUGCUUAUGGUUCAUUGCUGGCUUUCCAUCGAAACAUUAAUGUGUAUGUAAGUCCUGUUUGACCCUAUUUAAGAAUCAUUGUCGUGGUUCUUCAAAUCAUAAAUGUUGUAGCAUAUGUCAAUAUAAGUUACCCUGUAGAUUAUAUUCAUUCCAAAAUUUGCA